UGGGGAAUUUUGGACAAUGGGCGAAAGCCUGAUCCAGCAAUGCCGCGUGUGUGAAGAAGGCCUUCGGGUUGUAAAGCACUUUUGUCCGGAAAGAAAUCCUUGGCUCUAAUACAGUCGGGGGAUGACGGUACCGGAAGAAUAAGCACCGGCUAACUACGUGCCAGCAGCCGCGGUAAUACGUAGGGUGCAAGCGUUAAUCGGAAUUACUGGGCGUAAAGCGUGCGCAGGCGGUUUGCUAAGACCGAUGUGAAAUCCCCGGGCUCAACCUGGGAACUGCAUUGGUGACUGGCAGGCUAGAGUAUGGCAGAGGGGGGUAGAAUUCCACGUGUAGCAGUGAAAUGCGUAGAGAUGUGGAGGAAUACCGAUGGCGAAGGCAGCCCCCUGGGCCAAUACUGACGCUCAUGCACGAAAGCGUGGGGAGCAAACAGGAUUAGAUACCCUGGUAGUCCACGCCCUAAACGAUGUCAACUAGUUGUUGGGAUUCAUUUCCUUAGUAACGUAGCUAACGCGUGAAGUUGACCGCCUGGGGAGUACGGUCGCAAGAUUAAAACUC
rnacentral:rRNA from 1 species